rnacentral:rRNA from 1 species
CCUCACGGGUGGUCCCACCUGACCCCAUGCCGAACUCAGAAGUGAAACGCCGUAAGCGCCGAUGGUAGUGUGGGGUCUCCCCAUGCGAGAGUGAGGGUAGGA